rnacentral:rRNA from 1 species
CCUACGGGUGGCAGCAGUGGGGAAUAUUGCGCAAUGGGGGCAACCCUGACGCAGCAACGCCGCGUGAUUGAAGAAGGCCUUCGGGUUGUAAAGAUCUUUAAUCGGGGACGAAUUUUGACGGUACCAGAAGAAUAAGCACCGGCUAACUACGUGACAGCAGCCGCGGUAAUACGGAGGGAGCAAGCGUUAUCCGGAUUUACUGGGUGUAACGGGAGUGUAGGUGGACAUGCAAGUCAGAAGUGAAAUCUGGGGGCUUAACCCCCAAACUGCAUUUGAAACUGCUAGUCUUGAGUGAAGUAGAGGCAGGCGGAAUUCCCGGUGUAGCGGUGAAAUGCGUAGAUAUUGCGAGGAACACCAGUGGCGAAGGCAGCCUGCUGGACUUUAACUGACACUGAGGCGCGAAAGCGUGGGGAGCAAACAGGAUUAGAUACCCUUGUAGUC